ACCACCUUUUUCUUAUCACUUGUAUUAAACUAAACAAAUUAAAUACUGCUACUAUUUGGUACUAUUAUCCAAUUUCUGCAAAAAUUGCGUUCGACCCACACCACCAUAAUCCCUGACCUCUCUCGUCGUCGACGACCCUUCAAUUAAUUUAUCAAGAAAUAGUUAUAAGCCAUAAAUUUCUCUAUGUGAAGGCCUUUAUAUACUUCAGGUUGUUUUUUAAAUUGGAUUCUCUGUUGAAGUUUGGUGCUAUUUGGUUUUUUAAUUCCGCCCGGUUCUGGAGGUCCUGAGGUAGUGAAAUUUCAACAGAUUUGGAUUUUAUUUUUUAUUUUUUUAAAGAAUGGAU
rnacentral:lncRNA from 1 species